rnacentral:rRNA from 1 species
UACGAAGGGGGCUAGCGUUGCUCGGAAUCACUGGGCGUAAAGCGCACGUAGGCGGAUUCUUAAGUCGGUGGUGAAAUCCUGGAGCUCAACUCCAGAACUGCCUUCGAUACUGAGAGUCUCGAGUCCGGGAGAGGUGAGUGGAACUGCGAGUGUAGAGGUGAAAUUCGUAGAUAUUCGCAAGAACACCAGUGGCGAAGGCGGCUCACUGGCCCGGUACUGACGCUGAGGUGCGAAAGCGUAGGGAGCAAACAGG